GGCACCAAAAUCAGCCCCAAAUCCCCAAAGAGCCGGAUCACAAACGAGUCUGAAACGGGGGGAAAAUGAACCAAAAAAUGGGAAAAUCAGCACAAAAAUCAGCACAAAAAUCGGCAGAAAGUCACCCAAAAAUCAGCCAAAAAUCAGCACAAAAAUCAGCCCAAAAUCAGCACCAAAAUCCCCAAAGAGCCGGAUCACAAACGAGUCUGGGAAAGGGGAAAAUCAACCAAAAAAUGGGAAAAUCAGCACAAAAAUCAGCAAAAAAAUCAGCACAAAAAUCAGCACAAAAAUCCCCAAAGAGCCGGAUCACAAACGAGUCUGGGAAAGGGGAAAAUGAGAGAAAUCAGCACAAAAAUGGGCAAAAAAAUCAGCCCAAAAAUAGCCCUAAAUCACCCAAAAAUCACCCAAAAAUCGGCACAAAAAUCAGCAAAAAAUCACCCAAAAAUCAGCACAAAAAUCACUCCAAAAUCCCCAAAGAGCCGGAUCACAAACGAGUCUGGGAAAGGGGAAAAUCAACCAAAAAAUUACCCCAAAAUCAGCACAAAAAUCGGCACAAAAUCACCCAAAAACCAGCACAAAAUCACCCAAAAGUCAACCAAAAAUCAGCAAAAAAUCAGCCCAAAAUCACCCAAAAAUCAGCACAAACAUCAGCCCAAAAUCCCCAAAGAGCCGGAUCACAAACGAGUCUGCAACGGGGAAAAUAAACCAAAAAAUGGGAAAAUUCAGCCCAAAAAUUACCCCAAAAUCAGCCCAAAAAUGGGAAAGAUCAGCCCAAAAAUCAGCCCCAAAUCACCCAAAAUUUGGCAGCAAAGCACUCCAAAAUCAGCCCAAAAAUCAGCCCCAAAAUCCCCAAAGAGCCGGAUCACAAACGAGUCUGCAAUGGGGGAAAACAGCGAAAAAAUCGGGGAAAAUGAACCAAAAAAUGGGAAAAAUCAGCCCCAAAAUGAGCCCAAAAAUCAGCCCCAAAUCACCCAAAAAUCAGCCAAAAAUCGGCACAAAAAUCACUCAAAAAUCAGCCCAAAAUCAGCCCAAAAUCACCCAAAAAUCAGCACAAAAAUAGCCCUAAAUCACCCCAAAAUCACCCCAAAAUGAGCCCAAAAAUCAGCCCCAAAUCACCCAAAAUUUGGCACCAAAUCACUCAAAAAUCAGCCCAAAAUCAGCCCAAAAAUCAGCCCAAAAUCCCCAAAGAGCCGGAUCACAAACGAGUCUGCAAUGGGGGAAAAUGGGAAAAAAAAUUGGGGAAAAUCAGCACAAAAAUGGGCACAAAAAUCAGCAAAAAAUCAGCCUAAAAAUAGCCCUAAAUCAGCCCCAAAUCACCCAAAAUUUGGCACAAAAAUCGGCACCAAAUCACCCCAAAAUCAGCCCAAAAAUCAGCACAAAAUCAGCCUAAAAUCAGCAUAAAAAUCGGCACCAAAAUCACCCCAAAAAUUGGCACAAAAAUCGGCACAAAAAUCAGCCCCAAAAUCACCCAAAAAUCAGCACAAAAUCGGCACCAAAUCAGCCCAAAAAUGGGAAAGAUCAGCCCAAAAUUCACCCCAAAAUCAGCCCAAAAAGGGGAAAGAUCAGACCAAAAUCAGCCCCAAAAUGCCUCCAAAAAUCGACCCUUAAUCGGCCCAAAAUCAGCCCAAAAUAAGGGAAAGUUCCCCAAAAUCACCCAAAAAUCACCCAAACAUCGCCCCAAAAUCAGCCUAAGAAUUAGU
rnacentral:lncRNA from 1 species